rnacentral:antisense_RNA from 1 species
GCCGUGAAAGCCCUCGAUUCUCUGUCUAUCGGUAGACGGCCUACGCACGGGAACGACGGAGAUUUUUUCAACUACUUGAUAGUCCCUCUUUACCUCGCUCUUUUAGUUGACGCCUAUGCGCCUGCGCGGGCACGACGGGGAGCAGGGAUGGCGGGUUUUAA